CAGGAUUGAACUACAGCUGCGUGGUGU
rnacentral:misc_RNA from 1 species